rnacentral:rRNA from 1 species
GCGAACGCUGGCGGCAAGCUUAACACAUGCAAGUCGAACGGGUGUAGCAAUACAUUAGUGGCGGACGGGUGCGUAACACGUGGGAAUCUACCUUUAGGUAAGGAAUAACUCAGGGAAACUUGUGCUAAAACCUUAUAAUGUCUUCGGACCAAAUAUUUAUAGCCUAGAGAUGAGCCCGCGGUAGAUUAGCUAGUUGGUGGGGUAAUGGCCUACCAAGGCAACGAUCUAUAGCUGGUCUUAGAGGAUGAUCAGCCACACUGGGACUGAGACACGGCCCAGACUCCUACGGGAGGCAGCAGUGGGGAAUAUUGGGCAAUGGACGAAAGUCUGACCCAGCUAUGCCGCGUGAAUGAUGAAGGCCUUAGGGUUGUAAAGUUCUUUUACCGGGGAAGAUAAUGACGGUACCCGGAGAAAAAGCUCCGGCUAACUUCGU